rnacentral:rRNA from 1 species
UACGGAGGGUGCAAGCAUUAAUCGGAAUUAUUGGGCGUAAAGGGCGCGUAGGCGGAUGUAUAAGUCAGAUGUGAAAUUCCGGGGCUCAAACUCGGAGCUGCAUUUGAAACUAUAGAUCUAGAGGAUUGGCGGAGAAAACGGAAUUCCACGUGUAGCGGUGAAAUGCGUAGAUAUGUGGAGGAACACCGGUGGCGAAGGCGGCAUCCUGGACCGGCAUUGACGCUGAGGCGCGAAAGCCAGGGGAGCAAACGGG